GAGAAGCUGCAGACGGACUCUUCAGAAUCCUUUAAGGAUUUACACCGCAAAGCUUCGCGUAUUUUUUCAGUGAACAACUGUAGAAGAAAAUCUGAAGUUUGACUGCUAUUACCGGCGAAGGAAUGGAGUGACCAGGAAAGGUUUCAUCAGCGUUUAUCGGGACUUGAUGCACGCAUGACACUUGGAAGAAAACGCUGCGGAAUGCAUGAACAUUAGCGAAGUGUAUGGAGGAACGACGCCACUUCAGGCCCAGCCUCCAGACAGAUCUGGCAGCUCAGACACAUCUGGUACCUACACCGGCCGAGGCAGACGACCGUCCUGAUCCCUGGAUUGGCUGUCGCUCAGUUCAUUGUCUGUUUCAGCCAAUCAGAGCAACAAAGCACGUGAUGUAGCCACUAGCAAGCUGCGCGUGUGCA